AUGUGCCGGCCAUUGUCGUCGCUGUCGUAGGGGAUUCUGUUUAGAGCACCCUGCCAUUUGGUCGUAGCCUACUAAUGCUGCCAGGUAAUACCUAGAAAGUCAAGUCUGCAAGAUAAACUUAAUUACACACACAUGAUUUUUAGCUCUUGUGCUUGAAAAAUAAAACAAGGAACAUGUGAUGGACCUGAAAGUAGCUUUAAGCUAGAAUUGUUUUUGUUGGCUGAAGUUGGUUUAAUUCAGUUGAACCUGUUUGCUUCAGGGGGUAAUUACGGCCUUUGCCAUAAUCUGGCAUAAUCUCCCACUAAAAAAGCCAUCUCUCUUUUUGACCUCAGCCUCUUUAUUAGUUUAAAUUGUCAGGAACUGGACUGAAAGGAGUUUUGUAAAGAGAGCAUAAAACAAAGUAAUAUUUCUCCCAGCAAGGAGGGCUGAGCUAGCCAUCUAUUAUUUCUUUCUUCCAGAGCUGCCUUGUACCCUGUAUUCUGUAUGCUCUAACUUAGAAACACCUUGCUGAGCUGCAUUCCCAGAACACUGCUGUUCCAGCCAUAGUGGUCCUCGUGACUUAGCUCUGCCCACGUAUGUACAAGAAAUUAGGCAGAUGGCUUGAGAGAGUUAGGUAGGGGAGGAGCUGUUGGGACAUUUUGGGUACCAUUAUCAGUGCCCACAUUACUAGUGGUUCCUCUGCUUUUGCCCUCCUACUGUAAACACUGGGACAUAACUGGCAUCCUUUGAGGCUGUGUAGCACCCAGCAGGUUUUGAGUUGAAUACCACUGGAUGCCCUGUCCCCUUUUAAGGCAUUUAACUGCACAAAUGUUUUGCUUCAAGCCUGUUUCUCAGAAAGGAAAAGCACCUUUAUAAAUACGCAACUCAUGCUAAUCUUUGUGAGCCCCACCCUGUACGUAAUACAGACACUGUAGCUAAAAUAGGUGUUUGUUUUAAAAUAUCUAGAAUUUUAAUUGGAUGUAUUUUUGCUUACUUAUAUGCAUAGCCAGAGUGAAAUGUUUGGAGAUACUGUCUAGUAGUCAUCCCCCAAACCUGACAUCAUUUUACUACAAUUUGAUACAAAUGUCCUUUGGAUCACUUACUUUAAUCUCUCUCAAAUCAGUAAGAUUAAAAAAAAUCAAAGGCCACUGUUGUGUAGAGAUAAAAGCACAAGUUGAACAUUGCCGUGAAAGGUGUGGUGAUGCUUCCAGUGAUGGGUACUGUGCGGGUCUAUACAGCCAUUUGAGUUCCAUUGCUGGGAUUUGAAAUUGCAAAGGAAAAGGGCCGGGGGCGGGGGGGAAAUAUCCAUGUUUUGCCAUGUAGAAAAGGGUUUUAACCCCCCCCCCCCCCCACACACACACACACA